rnacentral:rRNA from 1 species
CCUACGGGAGGCAGCAGUGAGGAAUAUUGGUCAAUGGGCGGAAGCCUGAACCAGCCAAGUAGCGUGCAGGAUGACGGCCCUACGGGUUGUAAACUGCUUUUAUACGGGAAUAACGCGCCUUACGUGUAGGGCUUUGCAUGUACCGUAUGAAUAAGGACCGGCUAAUUCCGUGCCAGCAGCCGCGGUAAUACGGAAGGUCCGGUCGUUAUCCGGAUUUAUUGGGUUUAAAGGGAGCGUAGGCCGCAUGUCAAGCGUGCUGUGAAAUGUCCGGGCUCAACCCGGGCCUUGCAGCGCGAACUGGCGAGCUUGAGUCCGCGGAAGGCAGGCGGAAUUCGUCGUGUAGCGGUGAAAUGCUUAGAUAUGACGAAGAACCGCGAGUGCGAAGGCAGCUUGCUGCAGCGGAACUGACGCUGAUGCUCGAAAGCGCGGGUAUCGAACAGGAUUAGAUACCCCGGUAGUC